rnacentral:rRNA from 1 species
AUUGAACGCUGGCGGCAGGCCUAACACAUGCAAGUCGAGCGGAUGAGGAAAGCUUGCUUUUCGAUUCAGCGGCGGACGGGUGAGUAAUGCAUAGGAAUCUGCCUGUUAGUGGGGGAUAACUCGGGGAAACUCGGGCUAAUACCGCAUACGUCCUACGGGAGAAAGUGGGGGAGCUUCGGACCUUACGCUAACGGUAGAGCCGAGGUCGGAUUAGCUAGUAGGUGAGGUAAUGGCUCACCUAGGCGACGAUCCGUAAAUGGUCUGAGAGGAUGUUCAGUCACACUGGAACUGAGACACGGUCCAGACUCCUACGGGAGGCAGCAGUGGGGAAUAUUGGACAAUGGGCGAAAGCCUGAUCCAGCCAUGCCGCGUGUGUGAAGAAGGUCUUCGGAUUGUAAAGCACUUUAAGUUGGGAGGAAGGGUAUUCACCUAAUACGUGGGUACUUUGACGUUACCAACAGAAUAAGCACCGGCUAACUCUGUGCCAGCCGCCGCCGUAAAAC